rnacentral:rRNA from 1 species
AGAUUAAGUUAUUAAGGGCGCACGGUGGAUGCCUUGGCACUAGAAGCCGAUGAAGGACGUUACUAACGACGAUAUGCUUUGGGGAGCUGUAAGUAAGCUUUGAUCCAGAGAUUUCCGAAUGGGGAAACCCAGCAUGAGUUAUGUCAUGUUAUCGAUAUGUGAAUACAUAGCAUAUCAGAAGGCACACCCGGAGAACUGAAACAUCUUAGUACCCGGAGGAAGAGAAAGAAAAUUCGAUUCCCUUAGUAGCGGCGAGCGAAACGGGAAGAGCCCAAACCAACAAGCUUGCUUGUUGGGGUUGUAGGACACUCUAUACGGAGUUACAAAGGACGACAUUAGACGAAUCAUCUGGAAAGAUGAAUCAAAGAAGGUAAUAAUCCUGUAGUCGAAAAUGUUGUCUCUCUUGAGUGGAUCCUGAGUACGACGGAGCACGUGAAAUUCCGUCGGAAUCUGGGAGGACCAUCUCCUAAGGCUAAAUACUCUCUAGUGACCGAUAGUGAACCAGUACCGUGAGGGAAAGGUGAAAAGCACCCCGGAAGGGGAGUGAAAUAGAACCUGAAACCGUGUGCUUACAAGUAGUCAGAGCCCGUUAAUGGGUGAUGGCGUGCCUUUUGUAGAAUGAACCGGCGAGUUACGAUUUGAUGCAAGGUUAAGCAGUAAAUGUGGAGCCGUAGCGAAAGCGAGUCUGAAUAGGGCGUUUAGUAUUUGGUCGUAGACCCGAAACCAGGUGAUCUACCCUUGGUCAGGUUGAAGUUCAGGUAACACUGAAUGGAGGACCGAACCGACUUACGUUGAAAAGUGAGCGGAUGAACUGAGGGUAGCGGAGAAAUUCCAAUCGAACCUGGAGAUAGCUGGUUCUCUCCGAAAUAGCUUUAGGGCUAGCCUCAAGUGAUGAUUAUUGGAGGUAGAGCACUGUUUGGACGAGGGGCCCCUCUCGGGUUACCGAAUUCAGACAAACUCCGAAUGCCAAUUAAUUUAACUUGGGAGUCAGAACAUGGGUGAUAAGGUCCGUGUUCGAAAGGGAAACAGCCCAGACCACCAGCUAAGGUCCCAAAAUAUAUGUUAAGUGGAAAAGGAUGUGGCGUUGCCCAGACAACUAGGAUGUUGGCUUAGAAGCAGCCAUCAUUUAAAGAGUGCGUAAUAGCUCACUAGUCGAGUGACACUGCGCCGAAAAUGUACCGGGGCUAAACAUAUUACCGAAGCUGUGGAUUGUCCUUUGGACAAUGGUAGGAGAGCGUUCUAAGGGCGUUGAAGCAUGAUCGUAAGGACAUGUGGAGCGCUUAGAAGUGAGAAUGCCGGUGUGAGUAGCGAAAGACGGGUGAGAAUCCCGUCCACCGAUUGACUAAGGUUUCCAGAGGAAGGCUCGUCCGCUCUGGGUUAGUCGGGUCCUAAGCUGAGGCCGACAGGCGUAGGCGAUGGAUAACAGGUUGAUAUUCCUGUACCACCUAUAAUCGUUUUAAUCGAUGGGGGGACGCAGUAGGAUAGGCGAAGCGUGCGAUUGGAUUGCACGUCUAAGCAGUAAGGCUGAGUAUUAGGCAAAUCCGGUACUCGUUAAGGCUGAGCUGUGAUGGGGAGAAGACAUUGAGUCUUCGAGUCGUUGAUUUCACACUGCCGAGAAAAGCCUCUAGAUAGAAAAUAGGUGCCCGUACCGCAAACCGACACAGGUAGUCAAGAUGAGAAUUCUAAGGUGAGCGAGCGAACUCUCGUUAAGGAACUCGGCAAAAUGACCCCGUAACUUCGGGAGAAGGGGUGCUCUUUAGGGUUAACGCCCAGAAGAGCCGCAGUGAAUAGGCCCAAGCGACUGUUUAUCAAAAACACAGGUCUCUGCUAAACCGUAAGGUGAUGUAUAGGGGCUGACGCCUGCCCGGUGCUGGAAGGUUAAGAGGAGUGGUUAGCUUCUGCGAAGCUACGAAUCGAAGCCCCAGUAAACGGCGGCC